GGACGUUGAUUGGACAAAAAGACCUACCCUUACAAGGUAGAUGUCGGCGGUUCGAUCCCGUCAACGCCCACCA
rnacentral:tRNA from 3 species